rnacentral:rRNA from 1 species
GAACGCGAAGAACCUUACCAGGGCUUGACAUUUAGGUGAAGCGGCGGAAACGUCGUGGCCGAAGGGAGCCUAAACAGGUGGUGCAUGGCUGUCGUCAGCUCGUGUCGUGAGAUGUUAGGUUAAGUCCUGCAACGAGCGCAACCCUCGUCGUAUGUUGCCAGCGGUUAGGCCGGGCACCCAUACGAGACCGCCGGCGUCAAGCCGGAGGAAGGUGGGGACGACGUCAAGUCAUCAUGCCCUUAUGUCCUGGGCUACACACGUGCUACAAUGGCCGGCACAAUGGGCUGCCAACCCGCGAGGGUGAGCGAAUCCCUAAAGCCGGUCCCAGUUCGGAUUGGAGGCUGCAACCCGCCUCCAUGAAGUCGGAGUUGCUAGUAAUCGCGGAUCAGAAUGCCGCGGUGAAUACGUUCCCGGGUCUUGUACACACC